UUUUCUUCUUCUUUGCACUUUUAGGCUCUGUGGCCCCACCAUUUUUCUUUUCUACAUCUUCUGCUGGCUUACCCUCUUUCUUCUCGUUAGCAACAUCAGGUAGGUCUUCCGGACCGUCCUCCUUUUGUUCCACCCCAAAAUCAGCUAAAAGUGCCUCCAAUUCAGCAAGCUCCUUUUUCUUUCUCUCUUUCUUCGAUAGUUGUCUCUCAGCUUCUUUGGGAGCUGGUGAAGCUUCUAUCUUUUGUCUUACUGGCUCAGCAUGUUCUGCAACCUCAGACUCGUGGUCAUUAUCUUCCACAUCUUCAUCUUCAUCAAGAAGGUCGUCCUCACUUUCUGUUUCCUCAACAGGUUCAGUUUUUUUUCCAGAUUCAUUAGAACCCACAAAAGACUGAAGAGGAGCAGUAGUGGCGUAGUAAUCGUCAUCAUCUUCGUCAUCAACAUCUGCCCAAGAUUUCACCGUCAACGGCGCCGGAGCCCACAAAACUUCCGGCUCCUGUUCCUUUUUCGAUGACCCUUUACUUUUCUCCUUAUCAGAUUUCUUCUUCUUCCUCAAAGUAUCCAGCGCCGCAAAUACAUUGGAAUUUUUCACCAUCACAGACCCUUCUUCCCUUCUGUUACCCCCCAUCAUUUCAACCGAGUAAACCCAAUAAAUCUUCUUCAAUUUUUGUUCGUUCUACUCAAGAAAAUAAAGAAGAAUGAACUAGAAGAAAUUGGAUGGGAUUUUUGUUCAAAUAAUUAGGGUUUGGAGAGUUCUUGAUAG
rnacentral:misc_RNA from 1 species